UUUAAUCUCUCUCUCUCUCUCUCUCUCUCUCGCGUCGAUGGGAGCGGCGUCGAUUGCCCAGCGAGAGUACGCGAGCGAGCUGCCCGGCUUUCCGAUGCCAUAGAGCAGGUCGGCCCAUGUCAACAAUUUCACAUAUGUACAUUCAUCAAGCAAGGCUCAACUUGGCUCAAGCUCGACAUCCUCAUCAUUACAUGCCAUGAAGUUGUCAAGCAGGGUCUCUCGGUGGAGUGCCAAGACCAAAGUUGGAGAAGAUGCUCAUGAAGCCCAGAAUUAGAAGGGAUGUGGAUAAUUUAUGGGAUGUGAGAAAGAACAAUUGUGAAGAAUAAAGUUGUCGGAUUAUCGAUAGGAUGGACAUCUAAUGUAAAGCUAAGGGGAAGCUGCUUAAUUGACUGAUCCUGUUUGGACCAUUCGACUUGGAAGGUUUUGGGGCAGUAUUUUUGUGACUGGUUUAUGGAAAUGUCAUAGAAGAGAAACAUUUUCUGUAAGCAAUGCCGACCAUCAGUAUCAGCACAAAGAGAUCUUUCAGUUCAAGUGGCCCAAGGUUGUCACUGCGGCUUCCUCCUAUAUACUACAGUGUGAGUUAAAAGAACAAGGCCAUUGAGAUCUUUCUCAAUCAGACUAGGAGAAUCACCUUAUUGGAUGUCUAUGAUGUCACCCUCGAUUCACGUGAGAAGAGCCAGGGUGGUGGUACAAUUCCGUGAAGCAGCCUGUGCCUGUAAUAUAUCGACUGUGUCUAUGACGUCGCCUAAGGAUCAUGUAGAGGCAGGUCUCCUGAGACAUUUAUGUGAGACAGGGACUGCUUCCCUGUAGAGCAUGUAGAAGCAGAUCCUCUAGUCUAACCCCUGGCUUCAGUGAAUGCCUGUGCCAUUGUUCUGUCGGAGCAGCCUAUAUCCAGAGUUGGAUUCAAUCGGCAUGGAAGAUUAAUCGAUUGAAGCCUUCCACCCCAUAAUAUGAGGUGAGUUUUAUUUAGCUUCUUCAGUACCUUCUUGUACUAAUUCUAAGUUUAUCUUCCUGUUUACUGCUGCCCAUUGCAUUGUCCCCUUCUGUUGAGUGGGGACAUCCUUUAUGGAGGAUGGUGUGACCUGGUCUCCAUCACUGGAUUUGAUUUGCUCCUCCGUUUCUUUAUUGUGACGGCGAUCUACAGCACCUGUACAUCAGUACUAAAGCACUUAAUAUCAGCCUUCCUGAUGCCAUCAUUUUUCUGUCCCUUAUCUUCCUCUUUACUUUGUUGAUCUUUGCGACGGCGCAGUGGAUGGGUUGAUGAGACUACUAAACGGCACAGCUUCACCAACUUCCUUUAAUGCCAUGUCCUACUCUCUCUCUCUCUCUCUCUCUCUCUCUCACUCUCUCUUGUUUCAUCUGAGCCUUUGCAUGGCCUACUAACUCCUUUGGAUUCCAUAUCCAUGUUGCUGAGGCCCUGUAGCUGUAGAUUGGCUACAGCUGGUUUAUAUAGAUUCCAUAUCCAUUAAGUAUGGUAGGAUACUUAAUGGAGACGAAUCAAAAUCCCAUGGGGGAUGGAUGCACCCUGGCAUCAAGUGAUGGGCCACCUGUGAAUGAUUGCCACCAGCUGGUUUAUAUUGAUGCUGGGGGCUGGGUGGUGUUGGAUCAGUAUGGCUGUAUCCAUGAUGGGAUCCUUGCUGUGGUCCUCAUUACUACCCUUUCAUGCUUAUUUUCUUGUCUUGUCUAAUUACAGAUGUUGAUAUGUUCAUGCUAAUUUACUGUGAGACAAUGGAUGCAUUAUAGCUGAAGAAUAUAUUUUGCGUGUAGCUUGAUAUUAGACUAAACUAAAACGGGAUUGAUCAAUCAUGACACCCAUAUGCAUGCAAAUAUGUAUUGUAUAGGAACAUGAAUUUGACAUUGGAAUUUUAGUGCAUGCUGAGGCCUAAGUUCGUUUUCGGCCACCUAAUACUUUAUUCUUGGCCAACAUGUGUCCAAAUUAGUUCAGGUUAGACCAUUUAAGCUGUUAUUAGUGAAGUGCCUUUUUUGAUCUUUAUGCCUACUAAAUGAUGCAUCUUUCAUGCAUACCAUGUAAAUUAGUAGAUGUAAAGACUGUUAUACA